AGGCGAAGCAUUUCUUGACUGCAUCGGAAUUCACAGGACGAGUGAACUUCUCCAUCCAUUGUUGUAAGUGUCAAAACAUUGCCUGAAAAGGCUCUCUUGACAACAUAUGGACAUUCACAGCUUGGGGGUUCACUUGCCCCUGGAAUCGAGCACGAAAGACAAGACCUUCUUGAGCACAAGGUCACCUUCUCGGAACACACGAGGCUUGACCUUCUUGUCGAAUGCUAUCUUCACUCUCUGCUGAUGUAACUGACCAUGCUACAUGGCAGUUGAUCUCUUCUUUUCGAUUGGAUUCACCUGGUCAUAGUGACUCUGAAUC
rnacentral:lncRNA from 1 species